rnacentral:rRNA from 1 species
ACUCCUACGGAAGGCAGCAGUGGGAAUAUUGCACAAUGGGCGAAAGCCUGAUGCAGCAACGCCGCGUGCGGGACGACGGCCUUCGGGUUGUAAACCGCUUUCAGCAGGGACGAAGCGCAAGUGACGGUACCUGCAGAAGAAGCACCGGCUAACUACGUGCCAGCAGCCGCGGUAAU